CCAACACGCAGCCAAGCAGGAAAAAAAAAGAACCCAAUCUCUUAUCUCCCCACCACCUCUCUCCCCGAUUCACAUCUCCCACCCGAGCUCCACCACAACGCCGCCGCCGCCGCCGCCUCUGAUUCGAGGAAACUCCGGUGCUCCCCUUCACCACGCCUCACCAGCUCGUCCCCCCUCUUGUUCUCUCAUCUGGCCCCGCCCCCAACCCCCACCGCCACGACGUCCUCCACGCCUCUGCACGGCGCGACGGUUCAUUGUCCUAGCUCAUGUGCUCGGCCCAGCAAUCCCACUUCCACACGCGAUCGGCUACCGGCUAGGCUCGAUGGCGCUGUUCCACCUUGGCUACCUCGACUCCGAUGUGACGGUUCAGUAAGGCACCCCUCCCCUCUGCUCUUGCCCUGCCGCUGCUUUGUGGCAUGGCAUCUUGCCAUGGAUAAUUCUUUGCCGGCCAUUACGACAAUGAUUAAUGCUGCCUUAUCACUUGCCUGAUCCGCCUUUGUGGGCGCUGGCUUGCACCGACAGCCACACCACUCCAUGGUUUGUAUUCCUCACUAUUCUCGUAUGUGCACAGAAAUACUGCUACCUAGGGGUAAUUCAGUCAUCUGGGUGUACGCAUACAAGUGAUUCACCACAUGGCUGUAUGUGUUGAUUCAGGAAAAUGUGUGCGUUCUCUUUUUCUAAAUAGUUCUAUCUUGUGAUACAUUAGAUUUUAAUUUUUCAUGUAGCUAUGUGUGUGGAUAAUUAAUUAAUAUAUCCAUGAAGAUGAUUAGGCUGUAAAUUGAAUAAGUUGAUAGUAUCUCUGGAUAUCCUAGCUGUUAGUUUCUGACUAUUUAUAAAAACCAUUCCUUCUAGUAUCAUUUAAUAGGUGACCACUAUUAUGUACAACAUCAUGAUUUUUUUCAAGAAAGAAAACAAAUAUCUUCUUAUCGGUGUUAUGAAACCUUACUGAUUUCCUUGUAAUAAUCUAUGAAUAAGCCCCACAUGCAUCUCUACGUCCUAUUAUUUCUCUUUAUCUUUAUUUCAUAAUCCUUAAUUUCAUCUCUCCUUGCUAGUUCUGAAAUUGACUUCGCAUCAGCCAACAUUUGUCUGUUUAUUCUUUCUCUUAACACGUAAAUCCUCAGGUUCGGAAUGAUGAUACUAGCUAGUGCUUAUGGUAUGACUUAUGAUCCACUGAUUUAGAUAUGUAAAACUUAAAUGUUCUUGCAAGUACUUAUGAAGCGAAUCCAUCAUUCUUUGCAGUGCCAAAAUUUCUUACAUAUUCAUCUUUGGGAGAAAGAUCAAGGCAUAUAGUGGGCUACUUCUGCAAAAGGAGGGAAGCAACAUAUUGCAUUUAAAGUGAAGCUUCCUCUAUGAUAUGGAGAUGCAAUCAUCCAUCUAAAGACAAGGUAUGCUCAUUCCUCUAUUGUGUGAAUUCAACAUGGCUGAGCAACAAUUUAUUUGCUCAUACUUUUUUCAAUAUUAAUGCUUAUUGCAGUUCCUGCUUAGCUUGGGAAAUCCAAAGAAGAAUGUUGCCCUUGCUACACUCCAGAGUACUGACCUAUAAUAUAAAACAAAAAACUAUGGGUGUUGACUUGGUACUCCCUCCGGGAGUAACUGUUUCUUGGUUGACAUAACCACUAAAACAAAAUUAUUAGUCAUAUAGUAAGAUUAACUAUCACAUGUCCUCCAACCUUUAUAUGUUGCUCUUUUGUUUAAAUUUUACUUCCCUGUUAAUUGAUUUUCUUUGAUGGUACCUUGCUAUUCUCAUUUCUUUGUUGUUGUAGAUUGCUAAGAUAAAUCGAUGAUGCAUGGCUCAGAAGUUGAUUACAAGAUCGAGAAGGUGGCUACUACUAGAUAGUUUCAGAUUAUGUUUUGGAAUGUAAUUUUUAGGGUCAAUGUUUCAAACACUAUGUGUUUAGAUGGCUGAGUCGUUCAGUGCAAGGUUGAGAAUCAGACUAUUACUAGAUAGUUUCACAUAUUGUAAUCUGU
rnacentral:rRNA from 1 species